CGUAUCACUUAAAGCGAUUCAGCGGGUUACGAUUGACGGAGCGAAGCGACGUCAAAGCGUAUACAAAGUCGAGUCGGUUUAAGGAUACGUUCGUUGGGUAGGGGAGCGUUCUGUAAGCCUGUGAAGGUGUGUCGUGAGGCAUGCUGGAGGUAUCAGAAGUGCGAAUGCUGACAUAAGUAACGAUAAAGCGGGUGAAAAGCCCGCUCGCCGGAAGACCAAGGGUUCCUGUCCAACGUUAAUCGGGGCAGGGUGAGUCGACCCCUAAGGCGAGGCCGAAAGGCGUAGUCGAUGGGAAACGGGUUAAUAUUCCCGUACUUGGUGUUACUGCGAAGGGGGGACGGAGAAGGCUAUGUUGGCCGGGCGACGGUUGUCCCGGUUUAAGCGUGUAGGUGUGUGUUCCAGGUAAAUCCGGUUCACUUUAACACUGAGGCGUGACGACGAGGCACUACGGUGCUGAAGCAACAAAUGCCCUGCUUCCAGGAAAAGCCUCUAAGCAUCAGGUAACAUCAAAUCGUACCCCAAACCGACACAGGUGGUCAGGUAGAGAAUACCAAGGCGCUUGAGAGAACUCGGGUGAAGGAACUAGGCAAAAUGGUGCCGUAACUUCGGGAGAAGGCACGCUGACACGUAGGUGAAGUGAUUUACUCAUGGAGCUGAAGUCAGUCGAAGAUACCAGCUGGCUGCAACUGUUUAUUAAAAACACAGCACUGUGCAAACACGAAAGUGGACGUAUACGGUGUGACGCCUGCCCGGUGCCGGAAGGUUAAUUGAUGGGGUCAGCGCAAGCGAAGCUCCUGAUCGAAGCCCCGGUAAACGGCGGCCGUAACUAUAACGGUCCUAAGGUAGCGAAAUUCCUUGUCGGGUAAGUUCCGACCUGCACGAAUGGCGUAAUGAUGGCCAGGCUGUCUCCACCCGAGACUCAGUGAAAUUGAACUCGCUGUGAAGAUGCAGUGUACCCGCGGCAAGACGGAAAGACCCCGUGAACCUUUACUAUAGCUUGACACUGAACAUUGAGCCUUGAUGUGUAGGAUAGGUGGGAGGCUUUGAAGUGUGGACGCCAGUCUGCAUGGAGCCGACCUUGAAAUACCACCCUUUAAUGUUUGAUGUUCUAACGUGGACCCGUGAUCCGGGUUGCGGACAGUGUCUGGUGGGUAGUUUGACUGGGGCGGUCUCCUCCUAAAGAGUAACGGAGGAGCACGAAGGUUGGCUAAUCCUGGUCGGACAUCAGGAGGUUAGUGCAAUGGCAUAAGCCAGCUUGACUGCGAGCGUGACGGCGCGAGCAGGUGCGAAAGCAGGUCAUAGUGAUCCGGUGGUUCUGAAUGGAAGGGCCAUCGCUCAACGGAUAAAAGGUACUCCGGGGAUAACAGGCUGAUACCGCCCAAGAGUUCAUAUCGACGGCGGUGUUUGGCACCUCGAUGUCGGCUCAUCACAUCCUGGGGCUGAAGUAGGUCCCAAGGGUAUGGCUGUUCGCCAUUUAAAGUGGUACGCGAGCUGGGUUUAGAACGUCGUGAGACAGUUCGGUCCCUAUCUGCCGUGGGCGCUGGAGAACUGAGGGGGGCUGCUCCUAGUACGAGAGGACCGGAGUGGACGCAUCACUGGUGUUCGGGUUGUCAUGCCAAUGGCACUGCCCGGUAGCUAAAUGCGGAAGAGAUAAGUGCUGAAAGCAUCUAAGCACGAAACUUGCCCCGAGAUGAGUUCUCCCUGAGACUUAGAGUCUCCUGAAGGAACGUUGAAGACGACGACGUUGAUAGGCCGGGUGUGUAAGCGCAGCGAUGCGUUGAGCUAACCGGUACUAAUGAACCGUGAGGCUUAACCUU
rnacentral:rRNA from 1 species